rnacentral:lncRNA from 1 species
UCGAUGUUACUGUUGUAAUUAUUUUGGAGUGCCAUGAAUCACACUCACAUAAAACAGUGAACUUAAUAGAAUAGAGGCCAUAGCAAGCAUAAAAGCAACAAUUUAUCAAGCUGC